AUUGAACGCUGGCGGCAUGCUUUACACAUGCAAGUCGAACGGCAGCGCGGGCUUCGGCCUGGCGGCGAGUGGCGAACGGGUGAGUAAUGCAUCGGAACGUGCCCAGUAGUGGGGGAUAGCCCGGCGAAAGCCGGAUUAAUACCGCAUACGACCUGAGGGUGAAAGCGGGGGACCGAAAGGCCUCGCGCUAUUGGAGCGGCCGAUGUCGGAUUAGCUAGUUGGUGGGGUAAAGGCUUACCAAGGCGACGAUCCGUAGCUGGUCUGAGAGGACGACCAGCCACACUGGGACUGAGACACGGCCCAGACUCCUACGGGAGGCAGCAGUGGGGAAUUUUGGACAAUGGGGGCAACCCUGAUCCAGCCAUGCCGCGUGCGGGAAGAAGGCCUUCGGGUUGUAAACCGCUUUUGUUCGGGAAGAAAUCCUCUGGGCUAAUACCCCGGGGGGAUGACGGUACCGGAAGAAUGAGCACCGGCUAACUAC
rnacentral:rRNA from 1 species